rnacentral:rRNA from 1 species
UACGUAGGGGCAGCGUUGUCCGGAUUAUUGGCGUAAAGAGCGUGUAGGCGGCUUGGUAGGUCCGCUGUGAAACUCGAGGCUACAACCUCGAGAUGUCGACGGAAACCGCGUGGCUAGAGCCGGAAGAGGAGAGUGGAAUUCCUGGUGUAGCGGUGAAAUGCGCAGAUAUCAGGAGGAACACCGAUGGCGAAGGCAGCUCGCUGGGACGGUACUGACGCUGAGGCGCGAAAGCGUGGGGAGCGAACAGG